AUUGAACGCUGGCGGCAUGCCUUACACAUGCAAGUCGAACGGCAGCACGGGGGCAACCCUGGUGGCGAGUGGCGAACGGGUGAGUAACAUAUCGGAACAUACCCUAGAGUGGGGGAUAACGUAGCGAAAGUUACGCUAAUACCGCAUACGAUCUAAGGAUGAAAGUGGGGGAUCUUCGGACCUCAUGCUCAUGGAGUGGCCGAUAUCUGAUUAGCUAGUUGGUGAGGUAAAGGCUCACCAAGGCGACGAUCAGUAGCUGGUUUGAGAGAACGACCAGCCACACUGGAACUGAGACACGGUCCAGACUCCUACGGAGGCAGCAGUGGGGAAUUUUGGACAAUGGGGGCAACCCUGAUCCAGCAAUGCCGCGUGAGUGAAGAAGG
rnacentral:rRNA from 1 species